AUUGAACGCUGGCGGCAUGCUUUACACAUGCAAGUCGAACGGUAACGGGGACUUCGGUCUGCCGACGAGUGGCGAACGGGUGAGUAAUAUAUCGGAACGUGCCCAGUAAUGGGGGAUAGCUCGGCGAAAGCCGGAUUAAUACCGCAUACGCCCUGAGGGGGAAAGUGGGGGAUCUUCGGACCUCACGUUAUUGGAGCGGCCGAUAUCAGAUUAGCUAGUUGGUGGGGUAAAGGCCUACCAAGGCGACGAUCUGUAGCUGGUCUGAGAGGAUGAUCAGCCACACUGGGACUGAGACACGGCCCAGACUCCUACGGGAGGCAGCAGUGGGGAAUUUUGGACAAUGGGCGAAAGCCUGAUCCAGCCAUGCCGCGUGAGUGAAGAAGGCCUCGGUUGUAAGUACGUCUUUCUAGUGGAAAGGAAAGGACGGAAGUAGGGUUUAAGUAACCCGUUACGUCCGGUACGUA
rnacentral:rRNA from 1 species